UGUUUAACGUCCUGCUAAUCCUGUUAAGUUCCUGCUAAUACGGCUAAUCCUGGUAAGUUUUCGCUUAAUACGGCUAAACCUAUUAAGUUUCCCAUUAGUGAAAUGACGUUUAUGAAUUUCCUGCUAAUCUUAGUACUCUUAGUUCCUACUAAGUACUUAUCAGGAUUAAACGAAUUACUUAGUAAGUUCCUAGUAAGUUUUCAAAAAUAAAACAAGUAUAAAAAAUCGUCUUUGUUAUACGCCAUCUUUUAUUUAUUCACACGGAAGACAAGUCAGCUUUUUUAGAUUCAAUAGUUUUACUAAUUAAUAUUUGUAAUUCUAUAAAGAAAAAGCUCAAGAACAUCUGGGGAUGAUUGCGUGUUCCAUCUCAAACCAUGUACAAUCAAUCAGCUUCAGAUUAUAAUAGCUUUGAAACAAUGAUAAUGAAAGUUUUUUCAUCGUUCUAAAUUUAUGCUACAGUUAUGGUCGUAAAAGAUUAAGAAAAAUCUUAUGGGUGCAAUUAUUCCACUGACACCUGCGAAAUUACCAAAAGAACUGACCAUCGCUGUUUAUUGUAUUUUUUUAAAUGUUCUAGUUAAACAAUCUAACACUUAA
rnacentral:lncRNA from 1 species